UCGGGAAUUUUGGGCAAUGGGCGCAAGCCUGACCCAGCAACGCCGUGUGAAGGAUGAAGGCCUUCGGGUCGUAAACUUCUGUCGGGAGGGAAGAAAGGUCGCUGUUCGAAUAGGGCAGGGGCUUGACGGUACCUCCAAAGGAAGCACCGGCUAACUCCGUGCCAGCAGCCGCGGUAAUACGGAGGGUGCAAGCGUUGUUCGGAAUUACUGGGCGUAAAGCGAGUGUAGGCGGCUUCGCAAGUCGGAUGUGAAAUCCCAGGGCCUAACCCUGGAACUGCAUCCGAAACUGCGUCGCUUGAGUCCCGGAGAGGAUGGCGGAAUUUCCGGUGUAGAGGUGAAAUUCGUAGAUACCGGAAGGAACACCAGUGGCGAAGGCGGCCAUCUGGACGGUGACUGACGCUGAGACUCGAAAGCGUGGGGAGCAAACAGGAUUAGAUACCCCCGUAGUCC
rnacentral:rRNA from 1 species